AAUGAACGCUGGCGGCAUGCCUAACACAUGCAAGUCGAACGAGACCUUCGGGUCUAGUGGCGCACGGGUGCGUAACGCGUGGGAAUCUACCCUUGGGUUCGGAAUAACUCAGAGAAAUUUGAGCUAAUACCGGAUGAUGACGUAAGUCCAAAGAUUUAUCGCCCAAGGAUGAGCCCGCGUAGGAUUAGCUUGUUGGUGAGGUAAAAGCUCACCAAGGCGACGAUCCUUAGCUGGUCUGAGAGGAUGAUCAGCCACACUGGGACUGAGACACGGCCCAGACUCCUACGGGAGGCAGCAGUGGGGAAUAUUGGACAAUGGGCGAAAGCCUGAUCCAGCAAUGCCGCGUGAGUGAUGAAGGCCUUAGGGUUGUAAAGCUCUUUUACCCGGGAAGAUAAUGACUGUACCGGGAGAAUAAGCUCCGGCUAACUCCGUGCCAGCAGCCGCGUAAAGUGACUACUG
rnacentral:rRNA from 1 species